rnacentral:rRNA from 1 species
UACGUAGGGACCAAGCGUUGUUCGGAUUUACUGGGCGUAAAGGGCGCGUAGGCGGCGUGACAAGUCACUUGUGAAAUCUCUGGGCUUAACUCGGAACGGCCAAGUGAAACUGUCAUGCUAGAGUGCAGAAGGGGCAAUCGGAAUUCUUGGUGUAGCGGUGAAAUGCGUAGAUAUCAAGAGGAACACCUGCGGCGAAGGCGGGUUGCUGGGCCGACACUGACGCUGAGGCGCGAAAGCCAGGGGAGCGAACGGG